rnacentral:rRNA from 1 species
GACAGAGGGUGCAAACGUUGUUCGGAAUUACUGGGCGUAAAGCGCGUGUAGGCGGCAGGGCAUGUCGGAUGUGAAAUCCCGUGGCUCAACCACGGAAGUGCACCCGAAACUGCCCAGCUUGAGUCUCGGAGAGGAAGGCGGAAUGCUUGGUGUAGAGGUGAAAUUCGUAGAUAUCAAGCGGAACACCGGUGGCGAAGGCGGCCCACUGGUCCGGUACUGACGCUGAGGUGCGAAAGCGUGGGGAGCAAACAGG